rnacentral:rRNA from 1 species
GACGAACGCUGGCGGCGUGCUUAACACAUGCAAGUCGAACGGAAAGGCCCUGCUUUUGUGGGGUGCUCGAGUGGCGAACGGGUGAGUAACACGUGAGUAACCUGCCCUUGACUUUGGGAUAACUUCAGGAAACUGGGGCUAAUACCGGAUAGGAGCUCCUGCUGCAUGGUGGGGGUUGGAAAGUUUCGGCGGUUGGGGAUGGACUCGCGGCUUAUGAGCUUGUUGGUGGGGUAGGGGCUUACCAAGGGUGUGACGGGUAGGCGGCCUGAGAGGGUGACCGGCGACAUUGGGACUGAGAGACGGACCAGACUCCUACGGGAGGCAGCGGUGGGGAGUAUUGCACAAUGGGCGGACGCCUGAUGCAGCAACGCCGCGUGCGGGAUGACGGCCUUCGGGUUGUGAACCGCUUUCGCCUGUGACGAAGCGUGAGUGACGGUAAUGGGUAAAGAAGCACCGGCUAACUACGUG